rnacentral:rRNA from 1 species
UACGUAGGGUGCAAGCGUUAAUCGGAAUUACUGGGCGUAAAGCGCGCGCAGGCGGCUAUCCAAGUCAGUGGUGAAAGCCCGGAGCUCAACUCCGGAACUGCCAUUGAAACUGUUUAGCUUGAGGAUGAGAGAGGUGAGUGGAAUUCCCAGUGUAGAGGUGAAAUUCGUAGAUAUUGGGAAGAACACCGGUGGCGAAGGCGGCUCACUGGCUCAUAUCUGACGCUCAGGCGCGACAGCGUGGGGAUCAAACAGG